rnacentral:lncRNA from 1 species
ACAAAUAUGGAAAACUACCACCAAUCUACUCCAGCACCAACUUCAAUUAUGAUGACACUUUUCAUCGGCUCUGCUUCAUCGGCAAAUUUUAUUACGUCCUUGUAUCUUCCUUAGCAAUUUCCACACCCUUCUUCAUCGGUAUCGAUGAUCAUCGGUCAUCAGCACUCGAUCGGCAAUGAUGAGUAGCUAUCAUCUCAACCCUCAGGCCAGCAACAUAUUUCACCCGUCAUAUUAUCAUCGGCAUUACCUACCAUCGGCAAUCAUCUCAUCGGUUUGUCAUAGUAUUUUUCUAACUGCCGAUCAGUUCUCCCCAGCCAUCCUGACCUGCGCCUAAAAAUGGUGUCAACACAAACGCAAUAGGAGAAGACGCCAAGCCCACCGUCAGGCUGCCUAAUUUCACUGCGGAUGGAAAGGCUUUCCUGGCAAGAUUGUGAAAUAUAAAGAUGGCCUCAUGGAGCAAGAAGAGAACACGCGAGCACCCCAAUGGAGUGAGUGGGCAAAAGAAGCUGAAAGGAUGGACCAAAUUGCCAAGAAAGAGAAAGAGGAAAUCUUAGCAUGAUUAGAAGUAUGGAAGAAGGAGAACAGAGAUGAAGAGUUGGAACUGGAGAAGAAACAAGCAAAAGAGACAGCAGCAAGAAGGAAGGAAGACGCACCUAACACAUCACCACAAAACGGGGAGUUGACUGAGGUUACCUCAGACAAUGAACCCACUGAGUAAGUCCUCUCCUCUAUCUAAGUCCUGUCGGUAGACUUUAAAUUUCAUACCCUAGCCAUAAGGUCAGAAUGGUAGUUAUCUAGUUAAAUUAGCAUGCAUUAGUAAUUUCACUUUAAUACACCUAGUAGCAUAUUUAUUUCUCUUGGCAUAUUAAUACAAAAAAUAUUUACUGCUUUAAUCACUGCAUCAUAAAUACCAAAAGCCCAUGUGAGUAAACUUAUGGUAAAUCCUGAGGGAUAUUUAUUGUGGUGGCAUAAAAAACUAAAUUGCAUUCAUAUAUAUUUCAUGCAUUAUAAAAUCAAAAAAUACAAAAAAAAAUAAUUUUGCAAAAUUAGCUCAUAAGAAUAAUCAAUUGCUCAUUGGCUGACCGCUAACCCAUUAUUAAAUUCGUGCCUCGAGUUUUGGUUUUCUUGUUGGAGUAUGACUAUGCAGGAAUGACAUCAUAGCAAGGAGAGAGUCCAUCAGUGGCAACCACCAGGUCCGCUACUGGAUAGCUCACUCUAAAGGACAUCAACACCAAGUAUUGCAAAUAUCUAGCUUGGAGGAGGAGCAUCCCCUAGUUAUAAGGUAAUUAUAUCUAAGUGGUUUUUGAGUCUAUAUAGUUAUAAAAAUACCAAAAAUAUGUGAGCACAUGAAGGUUCACCAUAGUAUCAUAUAGUCAUAAAAAAAUACCAAAAGUACGUGGGC